UAAAGAGGAAGAAAAUCUCACUUACAAUGAGAAAGUGUAUAAAAUACUCUCUUUAA
rnacentral:tRNA from 1 species